CCUCUUAUAUAAUUUUUGCGGAAGAAAAUUAAUUUACACUUUAAACCUUUUGAAAGUGUAUCUAAAACACAUUAUUUUUGUGAUUAAUGACUUCUUCUUAGAGAUUGCAUUACACCCUCCAAUCAAUGUGUGACACGUUUUAUGUCUUAGGGGAAAAAAAUUAUACUUAAAAAAUACACCUCAAUUUACAUUAAAACAAAAAGGAAAAAACAAUCAUCUUCUCUAGCACUCUCUCUAUCUUCUUCCUAACAUUUGUCAGUCAUUUUCCACAGUAAUUUUAAAUACAUCUUCCUCCCAGCAGUAAUAAUCAUUGAACAAAUUAGGGUGGCACUUCGAUUAAAAAAGAGAUCUAUUUGACGGCUUUUAUCACUAGUCCUCUUUCUUUUCAUCGUAAAAAUUGAAUUGGUCGAAAUUGAAGCCGAAAAUACAUAACUUUAAGCUGCCGGUGCUUAGGAAGAUAAUACUGGACUGUGUUGCCUCCUCCAUAGACCAAUAUAAUGUUCCUUGACACCUUUCGUAGACACCAAAUCAAUCCUAGAUUUAACAAAUAAAAAAAAAAAGAAUGGAGAAGAAGAAGAAAUCAAACUUGAAAAUUCGUUCUUUCAUGGUGGAAGGUGUGUGAAAACAAGCUAUAUGGAGGGUCACUUGUGUUGCAAAUGAGCAAAUGAGGAUCUGGACAAGAUAUGGAGGGAUGGGGAAGGGUAGCGGUGGGGACGAAAGGGGAGGGAAGGGCUUAGAUACUUUUU
rnacentral:lncRNA from 1 species